GCACUGCUGACGAGUCCCAAACCAGGACGAAACAGCUGUCCAGUGC
rfam:Echinostoma caproni strain Egypt genome assembly, scaffold: ECPE_scaffold0017438